UUUAUAGCCUCUGGCUAUAGGAAAUUGUUAGUGGCAGACGGGUGAGUAAUGCGUAGGAAUCUACCUAGUAGUACGGAAUAGCCAUUAGAAAUGGUGGGUAAUACUGUAUAAUCCCCGAGGGGGAAAGAUUUAUCGCUAUUAGAUGAGCCUACGUUAGACUAGCUAGUUGGUGAGGUAAUGGCUUACCAAGGCUAUGAUCUAUAGCUGGUCUGAGAGGACGAUCAGCCACACUGGAACUGAGAUACGGUCCAGACUCCUACGGGAGGCAGCAGUGGGGAAUAUUGGACAAUGGGCGAAAGCCUGAUCCAGCUAUGCCGCGUGAGUGAAGAAGGCCUUCGGGUUGUAAAACUCUUUCAAUAGGGAAGAUAAUGACGGUACCUAUAGAAGAAGUCCCGGCAAACUCUGUGCCAGCAGCCGCGGUAAUACGGAGGGGGCAAGCGUUGUUCGGAAUUAUUGGGCGUAAAGGGCACGUAGGUGGACUAGUAAGUUAAAAGUG
rnacentral:rRNA from 1 species